GGCUCAGGACGAACGCUGGCGGCGUGCCUAAUACAUGCAAGUCGAACGAACGGAGGAAGAGCUUGCUCUUCCAAAGUUAGUGGCGGACGGGUGAGUAACACGUGGGCAACCUGCCUGUAAGUUGGGGAUAACUCCGGGAAACCGGGGCUAAUACCGAAUGAUAAAAUGUGGCGCAUGCCACGCUUUUGAAAGAUGGUUUCGGCUAUCGCUUACAGAUGGGCCCGCGGUGCAUUAGCUAGUUGGUAGGGUAAUGGCCUACCAAGGCAACGAUGCAUAGCCGACCUGAGAGGGUGAUCGGCCACACUGGGACUGAGACACGGCCCAGACUCCUACGGGAGGCAGCAGUAGGGAAUCUUCCGCAAUGGACGAAAGUCUGACGGAGCAACGCCGCGUGUAUGAAGAAGGUUUUCGGAUCGUAAAGUACUGUUGUUAGAGAAGAACAAGGAUAAGAGUAACUGCUUGUCCCUUGACGGUAUCUAACCAGAAAGCCACGGCUAACUACGUGCCAGC
rnacentral:rRNA from 1 species